GCUAGUCGUGUGCCUCAGCCAAAACGAGGCACGGCGUACAGCUCAGUAACACGUGGCUAACCUGCCCUUGGGACGAUGAUAACCCCGGGAAACUGGGGCUAAUCCUCGAUAGGUGAAGAACUCUGGAAUGAGUCUUUACCUAAAAGAGUCUGCGUUAUGCUCGUAGAUUUCGCCCAAGGAUGGGGCCGCGACCGAUCAGGUUGUUGGUGAGGUAAUGGCUCACCAAGCCUUUUACCGGUGCGGGCCGUGAGAGCGGGAGCCCGGAGAUGGGCACUGAGACAAGGGCCCAGGCCCUACGGGGCGCAGCAGUCGCGAAAACUUUGCAAUACACGAAAGUGUGACAGGGCUAUCCCGAGUGCCAUCCGCUGAGGAAGGCUUUUACCCAGUCUAGAAAGCUGGGGGAAUAAGGAGAGGGCAAGUCUGGUGUCAGCCGCCGCGGUAAUACCAGCUCUCCGAGUGGUGUGGAUGUUUAUUGGGCCUAAAGCAUCCGUAGCUGGCUAAGUUAGUCCCCUGUUAAAUCCAAUGAAUUAAUUGUUGGAUCGCGGGGGAUACUGCUUGGCUAGGGGACGAGAGAGGCAGACGGUAUUUCCGGGGUAGGGGUGAAAUCCUAUAAUCCCGGGAAGACCACCAGUGGCGAAGGCUGUCUGCUAGAACGCGCCCGACGGUGAGGGAUGAAAGCUGGGGGAGCGAACCGGAUUAGAUACCCGGGUAGUCCCAGCUGUAAACGAUGCAGGCUAGGUGUUUGGACGGCCACGUGCCGUUCUAGUGCCGCAGGGAAGCUGUUAAGCCUGCCGCCUGGGGAGUACGAUCGCAAGAUUGAAACUUAAAGGAAUUGGCGGGGGAGCACCACAAGGGGUGAAGC
rnacentral:rRNA from 1 species